rnacentral:lncRNA from 1 species
ACCUUUGAUAACUAUUAACACCACUGGGUCGAUGCCACUGCUGGUUGACGUUUCGUCCCCGAGGGUAUCACCAGCCCAGUAGUCAGCAAUUCGGUGUUGACAUGAAUAUAAAUUAUUUUGUCAUUUAUACUGUUUGCAAAAGUAUGAAUUAUUCAAAAUACUAAGGAUUUUCAAAUCCCAGGCAUAGAUUACCUUAGCCGUAUUUGGCACAACUUUUUUUAAUUUUCGGUCCACAAUGUUCUUCAAUUUUAUACUUGUUUGGUUUUCUAACAACAAAUGUAUUUUGAUUUAAGCGUCACUGAUGAGUCUUAUGAAGACGAAACGCGCGUAGGGCGUACUAAUUUAUAAGCCUGGUACCUUUGAUAACUAUUAGUCUUGUGAAAUAUUGAUAUCAUUCAAAACCUUAUCCUAAAUUAACAAAAUAUGAAUCUAUUUUAAUACCAAAACAUUCAUCAAAAAAAUCCAUAAAGUGUAUUCUUUUGGUGGAUUAACCUAAUUAAAGAGAAAUAUGCGUCUACAAGACAGGAUAACAAUACUAGUACUUUGCCAAAACCAUAAAACUGUUUAAAAAUUACAUAAACAGAUUUUUGGAACCAUGGAUGUUAUAUUCAUAUAAAAACUGCAUAGACAAUUUUUUAAAUGAUAAAUGACAAAAUAAUGUUCUACAGUUUAAAGAACCAAAUUUCAUAAUUUUACGCAUUAAAUGUAUGUAUCGUGUUGUUUUGUUUUUAUUACAACAGCACUGGUUUGAUACCUUCUGGUAAACUAUCAGUCCCCAUGUGUAUCAUCAGCUCACGUGUCAGUAUUCCGGAACAGACAUGAUUUAUAACAAACCUUUCUAAACUUUUUCGUUUAGAAAUUUUUAAAUUACCAAGAAACUAAGGUUUUGAUUCUCCCCAGCAAAUUUGACCGUUGAAGGAUUUGGCCAAUAUUUCAGAUUCCUCUUGGUUAUAUUGCUCUUCUACUGUUUCGGAUCUCAUACAUCCUUGGCUUUUUGAUAUGCGGCUUUGUGUUCCCCAUGAAGUAUAUGUAAAAGACAACAUAAUUUUGAACGCAUGAAAUUUAUAAUUUACCAAUUGUUUUAUGACAUUAUAAAACAUAUGUAGUAAAACAGAAAAUAUUGUUACAGACUUAUCACUUUAAUAGAAAACCGUUUAUGGUUACUUCAGGGGUAAAAUUAUGUAACAGUAGGUAGUAAAUAUAUGAUCAAAAGUACCUUAAUCCAUUACCUACAUACACCGAGAUUUGAUAAACUACCAAUGGAAUCGAACGAAUACCAUACGCAGGGAGACCGGUUUGUCAACUGUAAUAUACAAAUGAGGAAAUGUGAUUGCCAAUCAAACAAUUAUCCACCAGUGGCAAAACAACGAGAAUAAAGGCAACUGUAGUUCACCGUACCAUGUAAAAAGUAAAACAACGAGAAUGAAGGCAACUGUAGUUCAUGUACCAUGUAAAAAGUAAAACAACGAGAAUGAAGGCAACUGUAGUUAAUGUACCAUGUAAAAAGUAAAACAACGAGAAUGAAGGCAACUGUAGUUCAUCGUACCAUGUAAAAAGUAAAACAACGAGAAUGAAGGCAACUGUAGUUCACCGCACGAAGUAAAAAAGCAAAAAUACCGAACUCCAAGGAAAAUUGGGAACACACCAAAAGAAAAAAACCAAUGGCCUGAUUUAUGCUGAAACAAUUAAACAAAACAUGGCAGAUAACAACAGACGAUAAAAGCUGAAUCACAGACUCCGGACAUACAGACAGACACAUCAUGUGAUGGACUUCGACACGUUUGUUAAUCCUAAAACCUCCAACCUGAGCUGUGGUCAGUGACUGAACAGAACAAAAUAAGAAAAAAGUGUAAAAUAAUCAGUCAUGAUUGUAAUCCGACUAGAUAAAAUCGGAUGAGUUUUCCCGA